AUCCAUCAUCUUGACAGAAAUGUUAUUAUAGUAAUAAUUUUCUUAUACCUGAUUAUAAUAUUUCUAUAGAAUGGAAAACUCUGACUUUUCUUUGGAAGGGGGAAUAGGGUUUAAAACAUGCUUUAAUAGUCAUAUAAAAUGUAUUCAUUCCCAAGUUUCUUCACAAAAACCUUUGAUAUUACAAUUUUAUCUAGAUUACAUUUAUAGUUUUGGAAUAAACCAAACCUUUGAAUAGUGUUGUGCUAAUCUUGGUUAAAUAAAAAAAAAAAUUACUUCAGUGAUAUCUACUUGCAGAGAGUUAAAGAAAUAUUAAUCCUGAUGUUUUUAGUAGUUAUGGAAAUACUUUUUUCCUGAGGGACAGCUGAACUUCAAUCUGAAAUGUGAACAUAGAACAAAAUAACACAAGUAUAAAGUUUCCUUUUGAAUUUAAUAAAUCAACGAAGAAAUGUUUAUCGUGAAAUUUUAAAUACAAAACUUUUAGCCUGAACUCUUGAGAAAAUCCUA
rnacentral:lncRNA from 1 species